CGGCGAACGGUCGCGUAACACGUAGGCAACCUGCCCGAAAGACCGGGACAACACUCCGAAAGGGGUGCUAAUACCGGAUGUGGUCGCCAGAAGACCUCUUCUGGCGAGUAAAUCACUUGUUGGCUUUCGGAGGGGCCUGCGGCCUAUCAGCUAGUUGGCGGAGUAACGGCCCACCAAGGCGACGACGGGUAGCUGGUCUGAGAGGAUGGUCAGCCGGACUGGGACUGAGAUACGGCCCAG
rnacentral:rRNA from 1 species